rnacentral:rRNA from 1 species
CGGCGAGAGAGUGGCCGACAGGCGGGGUAGUACGGAGGGGGGAAGCGGUAUCCGGAUUUAUUGGGUUUAAAGGGUCCGGAGGCGGAACUAUAAGUCAGUGGUGAAAGCCUGUCGCUUAACGAUAGAACUGCCAUGGAUACUGUAAGUCUUGAGUAUAUUUGAGGUAGCUGGAAUAAGUAGUGUAGCGGUGAAAUGCAUAGAUAUUACUUAGAACACCAAUUGCGAAGGCAGGUUACCAAGAUAUAACUGACGCUGAGGGACGAAAGCGUGGGGAGCGAACAGGAUUAGAUACCCUAUAGUC